UACGUAGGGUGCAAGCGUUGUCCGGAAUUAUUGGGCGUAAAGAGCUCGUAGGCGGUCUGUCGCGUCGGCUGUGAAAACUCGGGGCUCAACUCCGAGCUUGCAGUCGAUACGGGCAGGCUAGAGUUCGGCAGGGGGAGACUGGAAUUCCUGGUGUAGCGGUGAAAUGCGCAGAUAUCAGGAGGAACACCGGUGGCGAAGGCGGGUCUCUGGGCCGAUACUGACGCUGAGGAGCGAAAGCGUGGGGAGCAAACAGG
rnacentral:rRNA from 1 species